AUCCUUUUCUGGUUCAUAAGCAUGAUGACUGGGUGUUCAUGCCUUUGUGUGAGAUGUGCCUCCUUAAAUCUUGUUACAACACUGGUACAUCGCCCUUCUGACU